GACGUAGGGCGCGAGCGUUGUCCGGAUUUAUUGGGCGUAAAGAGCUCGUAGGCGGCUUGUCGCGUCGUUCGUGAAAACCUGCAGCUCAACUGCAGGCUUGCGGUCGAUACGGGCAGGCUAGAGUUCGGCAGGGGAGACUGGAAUUCCUGGUGUAGCGGUGAAAUGCGCAGAUAUCAGGAGGAACACCGGUGGCGAAGGCGGGUCUCUGGGCCUUGCCUGACGCUGAGGCGCGAAAGCUAGGGGAGCGAACAGG
rnacentral:rRNA from 1 species